CGUGCAUGGCGCCGAAACUGGGGGAAACAACAUAGACGCGAAGAUCCUGCAGUGCGUGCCGCCGAAGCAGAGGCAAAGCGGACUCAGCGCACGACACACAGGAAUGAGAGGAUCGUCAACACAAGACAACGUGAAGAAAGAACAAAAAAGACCAAACACUCAACGCUGCUCUUACCGCUGCGGCUAUAGCCUGGGCCCAUUGGUACUUGGCAACUACCACGAGGACACCAAUGCCACCAGCAAGGUAGAGGAGAAAUCCACAAGCAUGGAACACAAAGAA